rnacentral:rRNA from 1 species
UUAGGAAUAUUGGACAAUGGGCGCAAGCCUGAUCCAGCCAUGCCGCGUGAGUGAUGAAGGCCUUCGGGUUGUAAAACUCUUUAGUCCACGAAUAUAAUGACUGUAGUGGAAGAAUAAGCCCCGGCUAACUUCGUGCCAGCAGCCGCGGUAAUACGAAGGGGGCGAGCGUUAUUCGGAAUCACUGGGCGUAAAGCGUGCGUAGGUUGUUUUGUAAGUUGGGAGUGAAAGCCCAGGGCUCAACCCUGGAAUUGCUCUCAAAACUACAAGACUUGAAUCUCGGAGAGGAUAGCGGAAUUGUCAGUGUAGCAGUGAAAUGCGUAGAUAUUGACAGGAACACCGGUGGCGUAAGCGGCUAUCUGGACGAGUAUUGACACUGAGGCACGAAAGCGUGGGGAUCAAACAGG